UGGGGAAUAUUGCGCAAUGGGCGAAAGCCUGACGCAGCGACGCCGCGUGAGGGAUGAAGGUUUUCGGAUCGUAAACCUCUGUCAGAAGGGAAGAAACCGCACUGUGCUAAUCAGCAGUGCCUUGACGGUACCUUCAAAGGAAGCACCGGCUAACUCCGUGCCAGCAGCCGCGGUAAUACGGAGGGUGCAAGCAUUAAUCGGAAUUACUGGGCGUAAAGCGCACGUAGGCUGCUUUGUAAGUCAGGGGUGAAAUCCCACGGCUCAACCGUGGAACUGCCGUUGAUACUGCUUAGGUUGAAUCCGGGAGAAGGUUGCGGAAUUCCAGGUGUAGGAGUGAAAUCCGUAGAUAUCUGGAGGAACAUCAGUGGCGAAGGCGGCCACCUGGACCGGUAUUGACGCUGAGGUGCGAAAGCGUGGGGAACAAACAGG
rnacentral:rRNA from 1 species